AUGAUUAAUGAUAGAUUAAGAAAAUUGGGGUUUUGAUAAGAUGCCUCUUCUUUCAGCUAGCAAGAUCCAUUCUUGUUAGCUUUGUUCUGGAGGCACAUAU
rfam:Arabis alpina cultivar Pajares chromosome 4, whole genome shotgun sequence.